GUAGGUGGCAAGCGUUGUCCGGGAUUAUUGGGCGUAAAGCGCGCGCAGGCGGUUCUUUAAGUCUGAUGUGAAAGCCCACGGCUCAACCGUGGAGGGUCAUUGGAAGCUGGAGAACUUGAGUACAGAAGAGGAAAGCGGAAUUCCACGUGUAGCGGUGAAAUGCGUAGAGAUGUGGAGGAACACCAGUGGCGAAGGCGGCUUUCUGGUCUGUAACUGACGCUGAGGCGCGAAAGCGUGGGGGGAGCAAACAGGAUUAGGUACCCUGGUAGUCCACGCCGUAAACGAUGAGUGCUAAGUGUUAGGGGGUUUCCGCCCCUUAGUGCUGCAGCUAACGCAUUAAGCACUCCGCCUGGGAGUACGGCCGCAAGGCUG
rnacentral:rRNA from 1 species